rnacentral:rRNA from 1 species
CCCUUAGAUGUUCUGGGCCGCACGCGCGCUACACUGAUUCAUGCAACAAGUUUUGUCCUUGGCUGAUAGGUCUGGGUAAUCUUUGAACGCUGUUCGUGACUGGGAUAGACCUUUGCAAUUAUGGGUCUUCAACGAGGAAUUCCUAGUAAACGCAAGUCAUCAGCUUGCAUUGAUUACGUCCCUGCCCUUUGUACACACCGCCCGUCGCACCUACCGAUUGAAUGGUCCGGUGAAAUCUCGGGACGGCGGCUUGGUCGCUUGCGUCCGACUGCUGAAACUUGAUUAAACCAUAUCAUUUAGAGGAAGGUGAAGUCGUAACA